rnacentral:ncRNA from 1 species
AACGUGCUCCGGGGUCGGUGUAAAUCCGAACCGGCGGUCAAAGUCCGCGACCCGCGCGUCGACCCACACCCGUGGCCAUCGACCAGCGGUUGAACCGGUGGAAUUCCGGUACCGACAGUUAAAGUCUGGAUGGGAGAAGCACGUG